CCCACGUCCUCAUGUAUUUCCUCUCUCUCCCUCUCCUCUUCCUCACGUAGAAAACCCUCUCUCAUCACAGUCAAACAUAAUCAGAACGAUGAUAGAAGAAACCAGGGAGAAGGAAGAAGAACCCAAGUACUCACACAUUUGAACCAGGAAGAAGGAAGAAAAAAUAAGCAACCAAACGCCUCUGCUUCCAUAUCCGCCCUAUUCACUGCCAAACUUCGAUACCAAGCUGUUGUUUGCGUCGAUUGAGGUUUGUUUCACAGCACUUUUAAAAAUUGCGAUUGUGUGAUGUUCCAUGUGAAUUUUCUAAUUAUACUCAUGAAUUAAUUGCGAAUAUUACCUUUAUUUUGGAGUUAUAG
rnacentral:lncRNA from 1 species